rnacentral:rRNA from 1 species
CCUACGGGUGGCAGCAGUGAGGAAUAUUGGACAAUGGACGAGAGUCUGAACCAGCCAAGUAGCGUGAAGGAUGAAGGCCCUAUGGGUGGUAAACUUCUUUUAUAGGGGAAUAAAAUGUGCCACGUGUGGGCUUUUGUAUGUACCAUAUGAAUAAGGAUCGGCUAACUCCGUGCCAGCAGCCGCGGUAAUACGGAGGAUCCGAGCGUUAUCCGGAUUUAUUGGGUUUAAAGGGAGCGUAGGUGGUUUGUUAAGUCAGUUGUGAAAGUUUGCGGCUCAACCGUAAAAUUGCAGUUGAAACUGGCAGUCUUGAGUACAGUAGAGGUGGGCGGAAUUCGUGGUGUAGCGGUGAAAUGCUUAGAUAUCACGAAGAACUCCGAUUGCGAAGGCAGCUCACUGGACUGCAACUGACGCUGAGGCUCGAAAGUGUGGGUAUCAAACAGGAUUAGAUACCCGUGUAGUC